rnacentral:rRNA from 1 species
UACGUAGGGUGCAAGCGUUAAUCGGAAUUACUGGGCGUAAAGCGUGCGCAGGCGGUUUUGUAAGUCUGUCGUGAAAGCCCCGGGCUCAACCUGGGAAUUGCGAUGGAGACUGCAAGGCUUGAAUCUGGCAGAGGGGGGUAGAAUUCCACGUGUAGCAGUGAAAUGCGUAGAGACGUGGAGGAACACCGAUGGCGAAGGCAGCCCCCUGGGUCAAGAUUGACGCUCAUGCACGAAAGCGUGGGGAGCAAACAGG